AUUGACCGCUGGCGGCAGGCCUAACACAUGCAAGUCGCGCGCGCGGCGGACGGGUGAGUAAUGUCUGGGAAACUGCCUGAUGGAGGGGGAUAACUACUGGAAACGGUAGCUAAUACCGCAUACCAUCAGAUGUGCCCAGAUGGGAUUAGCUAGUAGGUGGUGUAAUGGCUCACCUAGGCGACGAUCCCUAGCUGGUAUGAGCGGAUGACCAGCCACCCUGGAACUGAGACACGGUCCAGACUCCUACGGGAGGCAGCAGUGGGGAAUAUUGCCACAUGGGCGCAAGCCUGAUGCAGCCAUGCCGCGUGUGUGAAGAAGGCCUUCGGGUUGUAAAGCACUUUCAGCGGGGAGGCGUUACCCGCAGAAGAAGCACCGGCUAACUCCGUGCCAGCCGCCGCGGUAAUUC
rnacentral:rRNA from 1 species